UAGUAUCAGCGUGCCAGCAGCCGCGGUAAUACGAACUGUGCAAACGUUAUUCGGAAUCACUGGGCUUAAAGGGUGCGUAGGCGGUCGCACAAGUUCAGGUGUGAAAUCCCCCGACUCAACCGGGGAAUUGCGCUUGAAACUAGGUGACUUGGGUGAGGUAAGGGUACGCGGAACUUCUGGUGGAGCGGUGAAAUGUGUAGAUAUCAGAAGGAACGCCGGUGGCGAAAGCGGCGUACUGGGCCUUGGUCUGACGCUGAGGCACGAAAGCUAGGGAGUGAACGGGAUUAGAUACCCCGGUAAUCCUAGCCGUAAACACUGAGCACUGGAGGGGAGGGCUUCGGCCGUUUCCCUCGUAGCGAAAGCGUUAAGUGCUCCGCCUGGGGAGUA
rnacentral:rRNA from 1 species